rnacentral:misc_RNA from 1 species
CAACCCUCAAGCGCUGUAGUGCUUGGUGUUGGGGCAUCUGCUGCUUAUAGCAGGCCCUGAAAGAUAGUGGCGAGCUCGCCGUGACCCUGAGCGUAGUAGUUUACACCUCGCUUCUGUGGUUCAUAGCGGGUCUUCAGCCGUGAAAACCCCCUAAUUUUCACAA